GAUGAAGAACGCAGCGAAAUGCGAUACGUAAUGUGAAUUGCAGAAUUCAGUGAAUCAUCGAAUCUUUGAACGCAUAUUGCGCUCUCUGGUAUUCCGGAGAGCAUGCUUGUUUGAGUAUCAGUAAACACCUCAACUUCCAUAUCUUUUUUGAAAUGGGAGUUGGACUUGAGUGAUCCCAACGCUUUUCCUCACCGAAAAGUGGCGGGUUACUUGAAAUGCAGGUGCAGCUGGACUUUUCUCUGAGCUAUAAGCAUAUCUAUUUAGUCUGCCUAAAAAACAGAUUAUUACCUUUGCUGCAGCUAACAUAAAGGAGUUUAGUUCUUGUGCUGACUGAUGCAGGAUUCACAAAGACAGGCUUCGGCCGACUUUGUAAACUCGAUCUCAAAUCAAGUAAGACUACCCGCUGAACUUAAGCAUAUCAAUAAGCGGAGGA
rnacentral:misc_RNA from 1 species